rnacentral:tRNA from 1 species
GCGAGAGUGGUGAAAUUGGUAGACACGCCAGAUUUAGGUUCUGGUGCCACAGGCAUAAGGGUUCGAUUCCCUUCUCUCGCA